rnacentral:rRNA from 1 species
CGUAUCGAUAAAAACUGGAUCAAGCGUCUGCCGGAUAACUCAGCACCUUACACCUCCACCAUCGUUUUCCUGGUCCGCAAAGGCAAUCCAAAACAAAUUCAUGACUGGAAUGAUCUGAUUAAACCCGGUGUGUCGGUGAUUACGCCAAACCCGAAAAGCUCCGGCGGCGCACGCUGGAACUAUCUGGCGGCAUGGGGCUACGCCCUGCACCACAACAAUAACGAUCAGGCCAAAGCGCAGGACUUUGUCAAAGCCCUGUUUAAAAACGUUGAAGUGCUGGACUCCGGCGCGCGCGGCUCAACCAAUACUUUCGUUGAACGCGGUAUCGGUGAUGUGCUGAUUGCCUGGGAAAACGAAGCGCUACUGGCGACGAAUGAACUGGGUAAAGAUAAAUUCGAGAUAGUGACCCCGAGUGAAUCUAUUCUCGCAGAGCCGACCGUGUCCGUGGUGGAUAAAGUCGUUGAGAAGAAAGGGACGAAUGCGGUGGCGGAAGCGUAUCUGAAGUAUCUCUACUCGCCGGAAGGGCAGGAGAUAGCAGCGAAAAACUUCUACCGUCCGCGCGAUGCUGACGUGGCGAAAAAAUACGACGAUGCGUUUCCGAAGCUGAAGCUGUUCACCAUUGACGAGGUGUUUGGCGGCUGGGCGAAGGCGCAAAAAGAUCACUUCGCUAAUGGCGGUACGUUCGACCAAAUUAGCAAACGCUAAACCGUUUAUAAACCCGGUAACGUAUUAUGUUACCGGGUUUUUUCUUUGCCACAAUUUUGCGUUACUCUUCCCCGUCUAUGGGUCACAGGGAACGCAUAUCAUGAAAAAAACAGGCUACUUUUUACUGGCGGUGAUAGUGAUUGUCGCCGCGGCGGGCGUCGGUUACUGGAAAUUUUCCGGCAAUCCUGAUGCAUUACGGGAAAUCGUGCUUGAACAAUGCCUGCCCGAUCAGUUACAGCAUCAAAACCCAGCGCCUUGCGCGGAAGUCAAACCUCGCGCCGGCUAUGUCGUCUUUAAAGAUCGUCACGGUCCGUUGCAAUAUUUAUUGAUGCCCACCUACCGUAUCAACGGUACAGAAAGCCCGCUAUUGCUGGAACCCGCUACGCCCAACUUUUUCUGGCUGGCCUGGCAGGCUCGCGGCUAUAUGAGUAAAAAAUACGGGCAUGAUAUUCCGGAUAGCGCGGUCUCGCUGGCGAUUAAUUCGCGGCUUGGUCGUUCACAGGACCAUUUGCAUAUCCAUAUUUCUUGCAUCCGUCCUGACGUUCGGGAACAACUGGAUAACGAUCUCACGCGCAUCAGCACUCGCUGGCUUCCGCUGCCGGGUGGCCUGAUGGGGCAUGAAUACCUGGCGCGCCGGGUAACUGAGAGCGAACUGGCGCAGCGUAGUCCGUUUAUGAUGCUGGCGGAAGAGGUGCCGGAAGCGCGCGAUCAUAUGGGACGCUAUGCGCUGGCGGUGGUACGCCAAAGCGACGACUCUUUUGUCCUGCUGGCGACCGAGCGUAACCUGCUGACGCUUAAUCGCGCAUCGGCGGAAGAGAUUCAGGACCAUAGUUGCGCCAUUUUGUCUUCCCGCUGAUUUUCGUUACACCCCCCUGCUCAUUAUCUUAUUGAUUCUUAUCCCGGUUUAAAACUGGGGUAAGAUCGUGUCUAUAAAAAUAUGUGAAACCGAUCAAAAGAUAUAAAGGUAUACCUUUAUAUCUUUUGAUGGUUCGUUACACUCUCUUCAUAGCCUCCAUAGAUUGUCUGGUGGAUGGCUUAUAUAAAAACGUUUUUAUUUCAUGUAGUGACAUCAUUAAUUGUUCACCAGAUUUGCGCUGCUAAGCGUAAAGGAAUAUCAACAUGAAACUUUCUAUUGUGGAAAAAAUCGGCUUCGGCGCGGGAGAUAUGGCGAUAAACGUUGUGAUUAUCGCCAUGCAGCUGCUCCUCGCCUAUUUCUAUACCGAUAUCUACGGCCUGAGCGCCGCUGAUGUUGGCGUACUGUUUGUGGUUGUGCGGAUGAUUGAUGCCAUUAUCGAUCCGGCCAUGGGGGUUCUUACCGAUAAACUGAACACGCGCUGGGGGCGUUAUCGCCCGUGGCUGCUGUGGUUUGCUAUUCCUUUUGGUUUCGCCGUGUAUUUGAUGUUUAUUACGCCUGACAUGGCUUAUAUGGCCAAGCUGGCGUGGGCCUAUGGCACCUAUAUUCUUAUGACCCUGGUCUAUACUGCGAUCACCAUUCCCUAUAUUUCGAUGAUUGGCGUCAUUACCAGCGACCCCGUCGAACGGUUAAGCGCCAACGGCUAUCGUUUUGUGAUGACCAAGAUUGCCGCUUUCCUGGUGACUAUCGUCGUACCGAUGCUUGCCGUCUGGCUGGGGCAGGGCAACAAGGCGCUGGGUUACCAGUUUUCGAUGGGGCUGAUGGGGGCGAUGGGCGCCUUGCUGUUUAUCUUCUGUUUUCUUACCACGCGUGAACGCAGCGAGCCGGAAAUUACGUCGUUAUCGGUGGGGAAACAGUUUAAAUAUCUGUUACGCAACGAUCAGUGGAUUAUUCUCGGCGUUGUUAUUCUGCUGCUGAUGUGCGGUUAUGUUAUUCGCGGUUCCGUUGCCGCUUAUUACGCCAAGUAUUAUCUGAACGGCGGAGAUAGUCUGAUUUCACCCUUCCUGACUACCGGCGUCGUUGCCUCUAUUUUAGCGAUGAUCGCUACCACCUGGAUAACCAAGUUCUGGGACAAAAUUAAGAUGUUCCGCUACACCCAGAUUAUUACCUUUAUCCUGAGCGCGCUGAUGUAUUUCUCCGUCGGGCGUGAAAAUCUUAUCCUGGCGUUUGCGUUCUAUUUUCUUAUUAAUUUCUUCUGCGAUAUGCAAAUGCCGGUGUUCUGGUCCUCUAUCGCCGAAGCGGUGGAUUACGGAGAAAAGAAAACCGGUCUGCGCGUUUCCGGGUUG